ensembl:lncRNA
UUUCACUGUUCAAUCUCCCCCUCCUCCACCAAGAUCCCAAACAGGUGAUCAAAAUAUUUACCCAAAACCCAGGUCUCUUCCUAGAGGGGAUUUCUCUACUUCCCUGCACCGCCAGCUCAGGCCCACUCUGAACCCAGCCUGCACUGGAGCCCUCCGGGACGUGCACAGAAGGGCUCCUGUGUGGACUGCCUGGAUGCAGAGCGAGGGAUCCCAAGUGACUUCUGAGGGGCAAGAUGUUCCUCCAC